UACGGGGGGGGCAAGCGUUGUUCGGAAUUACUGGGCGUAAAGGGCUCGUAGGUGGUCAACUAAGUCGGACGUGAAAUCCCUCGGCUUAACUGGGGAACUGCGUCUGAUACUGGAUGGCUUGAGUUUGGGAGAGGGAUGCGGAAUUCCAGGUGUAGCGGUGAAAUGCGCAGAUAUCGGGAGGAACACCAAUGGCGAAGGCAGCUCGCUGGGACGGUACUGACGCUGAGACGCGAAAGCGUGGGGAGCAAACAGG
rnacentral:rRNA from 1 species